GACAGAGGGUGCAAACGUUGCUCGGAAUUACUGGGCGUAAAGCGUGCGCAGGCGGUUGUGCAAGACAGAUGUGAAAUCCCCGGGCUCAACCUGGGAAUUGCAUUUGUGACUGCACGGCUAGAGUGUGUCAGAGGGGGGUAGAAUUCCACGUGUAGCAGUGAAAUGCGUAGAGAUGUGGAGGAAUACCGAUGGCGAAGGCAGCCCCCUGGGAUAACACUGACGCUCAUGCACGAAAGCGUGGGGAGCAAACAGG
rnacentral:rRNA from 1 species